rnacentral:rRNA from 1 species
AACGAACGCUGGCGGCAUGCCUAACACAUGCAAGUCGAACGAGACCUUCGGGUCUAGUGUCGCACGGGUGCGUAACGCGUGGGAACCUGCCCUUAGGUUCGGAAUAACUCCCCGACAGGGGUGCUAAUACCGGAUAAUGUCUUCGGACCAAAGAUUUAUCGCCCUUGGAUGGGCCCGCGUUGGAUUAGCUAGUUGGUAGGGUAAAAGCCUACCAAGGCGACGAUCCAUAGCUGGUCUGAGAGGAUGAUCAGCCACACUGGGACUGAGACACGGCCCAGACUCCUACGGGAGGCAGCAGUGGGGAAUAUUGGACAAUGGGCGAAAGCCUGAUCCAGCAAUGCCGCGUGAGUGAUGAAGGCCUUAGGGUUGUAAAGCUCUUUUACCCGGGAUGAUAAUGACAGUACCGGGAGAAUAAGCUCCGGCUAACUCCGUG